UACGGAGGAUGCGAGCGUUAUCCGGAUUUAUUGGGUUUAAAGGGUGCGUAGGCGGGCUGUUAAGUCAGCGGUAAAAGCCCGGGGCUCAACCCCGGCGAGCCGUUGAAACUGGCUGUCUUGAGAUGUCGAGAGGUAUGCGGAAUGCGCAGUGUAGCGGUGAAAUGCUUAGAUAUUGCGCAGAACUCCGAUUGCGAAGGCAGCAUACCGGCGGGGAUCUGACGCUGAGGCACGAAAGCGUGGGUAUCGAACAGG
rnacentral:rRNA from 1 species